rnacentral:rRNA from 1 species
AUGUUGUCGCGGCAGUGCUUUAAACACGUCUUCCCAGCCGAAGGCUCCUCCUCCAGCGUUCUCCACGGUCCCGGCUCCAGAGGUGCAGCCAGCAGGAGCCGCACCGGCCUCAGCUUCCACCGGUGUUGCGUCAGGGCUAGCCUAUGGAGGACCGAUCACCUGCAAAUAAGCACCGCUCGAUUGUCCGAGGUGAUUGCUGAUUGCUCGUUUCUUGAUAAUAACAAGUUUGCUUCCCUUCUUGUUAUGCUGCUGAGACAGAUUAAGGUACACACAUUGCUUCAAGUACCAGAUGUUUUCAAUGCCAUCAAGAGCUGGAGCAAACUGCAACUGGUCUCGGUGACAGGGCUGGCGGCAUGUGUGGUUCUGCUAGUCCCUUCUGCCGGUGCCACUGAUGCUCUCAAGACAUGCACUUGCCUGCUCAAGGAAUGCAGGAUCGAGCUGGCAAAAUGCAUAGCCAACCCAUCAUGUGCAGCAAAUGUGGCAUGCUUAAAUACAUGCAACAAUCGACCUGACGAGACUGAAUGCCAGAUCAAAUGUGGCGAUCUGUUCGAGAACAGCGUGGUCGAUGAAUUCAACGAGUGCGCCGUUUCACGCAAAAAAUGUGUCCCCAAAAAGUCUGAUGUUGGGGAGUUCCCCGUCCCUGAUCCAUCUGCCCUUGUCAAGAACUUCAACAUGGCAGAUUUUAGAGGCAAGUGGUACAUUUCAAGUGGCCUAAAUCCUACUUUUGACACGUUCGAUUGCCAGCUUCACGAGUUUCGUCUCGAGGGAGACAGACUUAUUGCAAAUUUGGCAUGGAGAAUUCCCACCCCCGACUCCGGCUUCUUCACCAGGGGGGCCGUGCAGCGGUUCGUGCAGGAUCCCUCACAACCAGCAAUAUUGUAUAACCAUGACAACGAGUACCUGCACUAUCAAGAUGACUGGUACAUUCUCUCAUCGAAAAUAGAGAACAAGGACGAUGACUACAUAUUUGUAUACUACCGUGGAAGAAAUGACGCAUGGGAUGGAUAUGGUGGCGCUGUUGUGUACACAAGAAGCAGGGAAUUACCUGAGACAAUAGUCCCCGAGCUAGAAAGGGCUGCGAAAAGCGUAGGGCAGGACUUCUCCACAUUUAUCAGGACAGACAACACCUGUGGUGCCGAGCCUCCUCUUGCCGAUAGAAUCGAGAGGACUGUUGAGAAAGGGGAGAAGCUCAUCGUUGAUGAGGUAAAGGAGAUCGAAGGGGAGAUCGAGGGAGAGGUCAAGGAGCUGGAGAGGGAGGAGGAGACACUGGUUAAGAGGUUGGCAGAUGGCAUCAUGGAGGUCAAACAGGAUGUGAUGAACUUCUUUCAGGGUUUGAGCAAAGAGGAGAUGGAAAUUUUGGAUCAGCUGAACUUGGAGGCGACCGAGGUCGAGGAGCUCUUCAGCCGCUCCCUGCCGAUAAGGAAGCUAAGAUAG